UACGUAGGGUGCGGGCGUGUCCGGAAUUAUUGGGCGUAAAGGGCUCGUAGGCGGUUUGUCGCGUCGGGAGUGAAAACUCAGGGCUUAACCCUGAGCCUGCUUCCGAUACGGGCAGACUAGAGGUAUGCAGGGGAGAACGGAAUUCCUGGUGUAGCGGUGAAAUGCGCAGAUAUCAGGAGGAACACCGGUGGCGAAGGCGGUUCUCUGGGCAUUACCUGACGCUGAGGAGCGAAAGUGUGGGGAGCGAACAGG
rnacentral:rRNA from 1 species